AGUGAACGCUGGCGGCAGGCCUAACACAUGCAAGUCGAACGGCAGCACAGGAGAGCUUGCUCUCUGGGUGGCGAGUGGCGGACGGGUGAGGAACACAUCGGAAUCUACCUUGUCGUGGGGGAUAACGUAGGGAAACUUACGCUAAUACCGCAUACGAACUAUGGUUGAAAGCGGCGGACCGCAAGGCGUCGCGCGAUUGGAUGAGCCGAUGUCCGAUUAGCGAGUUGGCGGGGUAAAGGCCCACCAAGGCGACGAUCGGUAGCUGGUCUGAGAGGAUGAUCAGCCACACUGGAACUGAGACACGGUCCAGACUCCUACGGGAGGCAGCAGUGGGGAAUAUUGGACAAUGGGGGCAACCCUGAUCCAGCCAUGCCGCGUGUGUGAAGAAGGCCUUCGGGUUGUAAAGCACUUUUGUUGGGGAAGAAAAGCGGUCGGUUAAUACCCGAUCGUUCUGACGGUACCCAAAGAAUAAGCACCGGCUAACUUCGUGCCAGCCGCCGCCGUAA
rnacentral:rRNA from 1 species